AAGGGCCCCCUGCCUUUGUGGGAGCUGAUCGAUCCCUUCCUGUUACCAUCAGCAAACGUGGUUACCCAUCUAGUACAGUAUAAGAUCAAAGAAGAUCUCUAGCCCGCCUUCCACCACCGCACUCCUCCAGUUUUAAAGAAAGAGGAGGAAAGAAAGAGAGAGAAGAGAUUAUGGGCACCAGCUCUGUCUAGGGAGAGUUUGGGCAGAUACCUGGAGGAGCAGAGGCUCUGACUUUGAUCAUCGGACAUUUCAGAAGACAUAUUAUGAAGAUGCAAUCUGCUAUGCUCUCUCCCAGGCUACAAGGAGGACUCAGCCUUAACGUCCAGGAAAAUUCUCCACCCAAUAACUCCCUCUCUACCCUGGCUGAAGAGUAAGAAAAGAACCAAGUCCCAAACACUGGAUCCUUUUA